rnacentral:rRNA from 1 species
UACAGAGGUCCCAAGCGUUGUUCGGAUUCAUUGGGCAUAAAGGGUGCGUAGGCGGCGCGGUAAGUCGGGUGUGAAAUCUCGGGGCUUAACUCCGAAACUGCAUUCGAUACUGCCGUGCUUGAGGACUGGAGAGGAGACUGGAAUUUACGGUGUAGCGGUGAAAUGCGUAGAGAUGUGGAGGAACACCAGUGGCGAAGGCGACUCUUUGGCCUGUAACUGACACUGAGGCGCGAAAGCGUGGGGAGCAAACAGG